UACACCCCUAGUCCCAGUAGGGGUUUAAAGCAAGAGCUGUGCAUAUUAGAAACGCGGCGGGGAAGCUCCACGAGCCACUUAAAGCCCCGCACUCCCUCCCACAGAGACGCUGGAGUAGUGAGAGUGGUCCAGGAGGACCAAGGAUGCUGCAGCCGACCUGCCUGUGCCAGAGGCGGUGGGAAUGGCUGGGAGGACUGCAGAGAAAGCAUUUUGAGGCAUCCCUGCCAAAGAGUGGGUCAAUUCAGUUUAACUCAGACUAGAGAGAGCGUAGAAUACCAAGGAGAUCUGCACACCUCAAGCCCCACACAUCCAAAUCGACCCUCAUAUCCCUCGUCUGCUCCCUUGUCUCAAGCAGAAACCAGAGAGCUAUCUCCACUGCAGCCAUCGUGAAAUCUGUGAGAUUAAAAAGCCUGUUAAAUUUACUAAAUAUUCGACUCUUGUUUUUAUUCAACGCAUUAAAUAUUUAAGCCACUA